rnacentral:rRNA from 1 species
AUGCUCCGUCCGAGAGAUUCUGAUGCGGUGAGGUCCGUCGCCUCGGACCAUGGCCGGCGGCAAGAUGGAGCUGUCGCGGCUAGCGCCAGCCACCUCCGGUGGGCUGCACCGCCUGGGGCUGCGGCCUUAGCCGGCGACCGGCGCCAUGACGGGAGCCUUCGUGGGUCGCGGCUACAGCCAUCCGUCUCCGACGCGCCCAAGCCUAGGCAAGGCAGCUGCUUUCAUGGGCCAUCAUUCUCUGCUAGGGCCGACAAGCUCUCUGGGAGAGAAGGUGGAUGGAAGUGCAGGGCGUGUGAUCAGUCGGCUGUGGCUGGUGGUCAAGAUGCCACGGAAGGUCGUGCGGUCAAACUUGAAGAUGCAGGCUUGAGACAAACCCACAGGCAAAGCAACAAACAGGAGGACAUGCAUCGCCGCACGUACCGCUGCGUACAGGGCCGGUGGGCCGGCGUCAACGUUUCGGUCUGCCGAGGUACACCCCGAGAGGGUGAUGAUGAUGAUGAGUGGCAGCCUAGGACAAAACACCGGGCGACGGCGGCCGUGGCUGUUGCACCGACAGGGGCGAAGCCCUUGAUUGUGAAAUCGUCCCGACGCGGCCUGCCAAUCGUCCAGGAUACUACUCCCUCCGCAGUUUCUUACAAGUCACAUAUGACUUGGUUUGGCACAAACAUCAUCAUGUAA